ACGCUGGCGGCGUGCUUAACACAUGCAAGUCGAACGAGACGAUUGAAAGCUUGCUUUUGAAAGUCGAGUGGCAAACGGGUGAGUAACGCGUAGACAACCUGCCGUAAAGAUGGGACAACAGUCCGAAAGGACUGCUAAUACCGAAUGUUGUAAAUCUUCCGCAUGGAAGACUUACUAAAGGUGGCCUCUACUUGUAAGCUAUCGCUUUACGAUGGGUCUGCGUCUGAUUAGCUGGUUGGUGGGGUAACGGCCUACCAAGGCGACGAUCAGUAGCCGGUCUGAGAGGAUGAACGGCCACAUUGGAACUGAGACACGGUCCAGACUCCUACGGGAGGCAGCAGUGGGGAAUCUUCCGCAAUGGGCGAAAGCCUGACGGAGCAACGCCGCGUGAGUGAAGAAGGUCUUCGGAUCGUAAAGCUCUGUUGUCGGGGACGAAUGUUGAGGCCUAGAACAUAGGUUUCAAAUGACGGUACCUGACGAGGAAGCCACGGCUAACUACGUG
rnacentral:rRNA from 1 species